GGAUGAAGAACGCAGCGAAAUGCGAUAAGUAAUGUGAAUUGCAGAAUUCAGUGAAUCAUCGAAUCUUUGAACGCACAUUGCGCCCUCUGGUAUUCCGGGGGGCAUGCCUGUUCGAGCGUCAUUAUAACCACUCAAGCUCUCGCUUGGUAUUGGGGUUCGCGGUUCCGCGGCCCCUAAAAUCAGUGGCGGUGCCUGUCGGCUCUACGCGUAGUAAUACUCCUCGCGAUUGAGUCCGGUAGGUCUACUUGCCAGCAACCCCCAAUUUUUACAGGUUGACCUCGGAUCAGGUAGGGAUACCCGCUGAACUUAAGCAUAUCAAUAAGCGGAGGA
rnacentral:misc_RNA from 1 species